UACAGAGGUCUCAAGCGUUGUUCGGAUUCAUUGGGCGUAAAGGGUGCGUAGGUGGCGCUGUAAGUCGGGUGUGAAAUCCUGAGGCUUAACCUCGGAACUGCAUUCGAUACUGCGGCGCUUGAGGACUGGAGAGGAGACUGGAAUUCAUGGUGUAGCAGUGAAAUGCGUAGAUAUCGUAAGGAAGACCAGUGGCGAAGGCGGGUCUCUGGACAGUUCCUGACGCUGAGGCACGAAGGUCAGGGGAGCAAACGGG
rnacentral:rRNA from 1 species